rnacentral:rRNA from 1 species
CAGUCACCGCGGGAAUACAGAGGGUGCGAGCGUUAAUCGGAUUUACUGGGCGUAAAGCGUGCGUAGGCGGCUUCUUAAGUCGGAUGUGAAAUCCCUGAGCUUAACUUAGGAAUUGCAUUCGAUACUGGGAAGCUAGAGUAUGGGAGAGGAUGGUAGAAUUCCAGGUGUAGCGGUGAAAUGCGUAGAGAUCUGGAGGAAUACCGAUGGCGAAGGCAGCCAUCUGGCCUAAUACUGACGCUGAGGUACGAAAGCAUGGGGAGCAAACAGGAUUAGAUACCCGCGUAGUCCCUGUCUCUUAUAA